AAGUCGUAACAAGGUAACCGUAGGUGAACCUGCGGUUGGAUCAUUACUGAAUAUAUUAUUAUAUAAGAGGCGGGCUAGGGGGCUACUCCUGCCGCUCUUGUAUAUAAUUUACACUCCACUUGUGAACUGUUUACCGUACCUUUGUUUUGGCAGCCCACCACAAAAGGACCAAAGAGAAGGGAGAGGAAGAGGAGGAGGAGGAAGAGGAGGCUUUCCACUUUUUUUCUUUUUCUUUUUCUUUUUCUUUUCUUUGAUCUGGGGCUGUCUGACAGCCAAAUUAAACAAACUCGUUUUUCCUAAAUAUUAAUGCAGUCUCUUAAUUAAUAAUAAUUAAUAAUAAUAAACAAACAACUUUUGACAACGGAUCUCUUGGCUCUC
rnacentral:misc_RNA from 1 species